UACGAAGGGUGCAAGCGUUAUUCGGAAUUACUGGGCGUAAAGGGUGCGUAGGCGGUUGUUUAAGUCUGUCGUGAAAUCCCCGGGCUCAACCUGGGAAUGGCGAUGGAUACUGGGCAGCUAGAGUGUGUCAGAGGAUGGUGGAAUUCCCGGUGUAGCGGUGAAAUGCGUAGAGAUCGGGAGGAACAUCAGUGGCGAAGGCGGCCAUCUGGGCCAACACUGACGCUGAAGCACGAAAGCGUGGGGAGCAAACAGG
rnacentral:rRNA from 1 species